UACGGAGGGUGCAAGCGUUAUCCGGAUUCACUGGGUUUAAAGGGUGCGUAGGAGGGCAGGUAAGUCAGUGGUGAAAUCCCCGAGCUUAACUUGGGAACUGCCGUUGAUACUAUCUGUCUUGAAUAUUGUGGAGGUGAGCGGAGUAUGUCAUGUAGCGGUGAAAUGCUUAGAUAUGACAUAGAACACCAAUUGCGAAGGCAGCUCGCUACACAUAUAUUGACUCUGAGGCACGAAAGCGUGGGGAGCAAACAGG
rnacentral:rRNA from 1 species